rnacentral:lncRNA from 1 species
AAUUAGCGACGAAAUUUUCGUCGGAAAGCAACUGUCAGUAAAAAGCAGCGUUAUGCACAGAAAAGUGGAGCACGUGGCAGCUUGUGAAUGGCUGACUUUACCGAGGAAUAAUUUCCUAGGAAAGCGGCGGCCCCACAUGCAGAAAAAGGGUGUGUGGAAGCAUGUGAUUGACCUACUUUACCGAGGAAUAUUUUCCUAGGAAAGCUGCGGCCCCACAUGCACACAGUCGUUGGAUAAAGGGUGUGUGUAUGGUUGUGAUUGGUGGAAAUUACAUACGAAAAUUUCGUCGGAAAACACGGGACCCACAUGCUAACUAGCCGUUUGUUACCGUUGCAGCAUCUGUGUGUAUAAAUAUACAACACUCUAUUUUCUUCUUUACAAUCUUCAUUCUAUUCUCAUUCAAAUUUUUUUAAUAUCACUCAAAUUUUAUUCUCCAUCAUUUUAUUAUCAUUAUUGAAGUUUCUAACAAAGGUAAUUAUUGAUAUUUUCUUAUAAUUGAUUUCAAUUUUACAUGUGUUUGAAUUUAUAAAUAUUUAAUGUAGUUAUAUAUUAAAAUAAGUUACAUUUUUUUUUUUUAUAGUUAUGUUGGUUCUGAUCCAUUUUGAGGUUGGUGUUGUUGUUCGUUGCCGUUGAUUUUGUUGUCUCCGCUUAGUUCGUCGACUUAUUAUUUGAGGUUGGUACAUUUCUAACUUAUUUUAAAUAAUUAUUACAAUGGUAUUAGUACUAAAUAUUAAAUAUUAGAAAAAUAGUUACUAAAGUUAUUAUAUUGUAAUUAAUAAAAAUGUUAGCGGGAUUUUUCUAAAAAAAAUGUUAGUUGGAUUAACUUCUUUAAAAAAAUAUUUAGUGGGAUUAAAUUAAAUUUCAACUUAUUAGUGUUAGAGAGAGUAACUUAUUAGUGUUAGAGAGAGUAUAAUAAAAAAAGUGUUAACUUGUAGAAAAAUUUGUAGUUUAGUUAAAAAUGUUUACUUUUAAAAAUGUGUGUAUUUAUAUAUAUUGUUAAUUUAGUUAUUAAAAUAUGUUGCAUUAUUUUUUGUAGUUUCCUUGUUUUCGAUCCAUUUUAAAGUUGGUGUUGCUGCUGGCUGGUUGUUGCUU